AACUCAAUUGCUGGAUCAUAUGAUAAGUGUUUGUUCAGUUAUGUAAGAAACUGCCAAACUGUUCACCAUAGUGGCUGUGUCAUUUUGCAUUGCCACCAGCAU
rnacentral:pre_miRNA from 1 species